GUGACGACUCCACACAUUCCCCUGGGUACAGGGUGAAUGUGGGCUUCUUAAGAAAUUAGGAAGUACGUCAUUAGCCUAGGUGGUUCGUUACGCAAGAAAUCACCACGUUUAACCAGAAUAUAUAGGUACUUCAGAAUACAGAGAGUAGCGUCUCGAUCCCUAGUUCUGAACUCUACGACCAGUGAUUAAACAUUUCUACAGGAAGAGGAAAAGUGUUGCUGGUAUAAAACCUGGAUAAACAUUGGCAAAGGGAACCACGC
rfam:Scytonema hofmannii PCC 7110 genomic scaffold Scaffold1, whole genome shotgun sequence.